AUGAUGGCCUUUAUUCUCCCUCAGAGAGGGAGCUUGAGCUCUUGAGAAAGACAUGAAGGCCCUUGCCGCUGUCGGCAUCACUCCUUCCUCCCUAAUCCGGUCAGUUAAUUGCUGAGUGCUCGCUUCCUGAUCUGCGUGAUGGCCUCGGAACCGGGCUGCGUGUAGACCUGGGUGACUGUCAGCUGAGUUCCCAAGUGGAGGGCCUCGGAAGACGCUCUGUGCGGCCUACUAACAAGCACGAGGUACACGCAGAGAAAAGGCCAUGUGAAGACACAGCGGGAAGGUAGCCAUCUGCAAGCCAAGGAGAGAGGCCUCCAGAGACACCAAAACCUGCCGACACCUUGAUCUUGGACUUCAUGCCCCCAAAACUGUGAAAAAAUAAAUUUCUGUUGUUUAAG
rnacentral:lncRNA from 1 species